rnacentral:rRNA from 1 species
UGGGGGAUUUUGGACAAUGGGCGAAAGCCUGAUCCAGCAAUGCCGCGUGUGUGAAGAAGGCCUUCGGGUUGUAAAGCACUUUUGUCCGGAAAGAAAUCCUCUGAGUUAAUACCUCGGGGGAUGACGGUACCGGAAGAAUAAGCACCGGCUAACUACGUGCCAGCAGCCGCGGUAAUACGUAGGGUGCAAGCGUUAAUCGGAAUUACUGGGCGUAAAGCGUGCGCAGGCGGUUUUGUAAUACGGAUGUGAAAUCCCCGGGCUUAACCUGGGAACUGCAUUCGUGACUGCAAGGCUAGAGUAUGGCAGAGGGGGGUAGAAUUCCACGUGUAGCAGUGAAAUGCGUAGAGAUGUGGAGGAAUACCGAUGGCGAAGGCAGCCCCCUGGGCCAAUACUGACGCUCAUGCACGAAAGCGUGGGGAGCAAAACAGGAUUAGAUACCCUGGUAGUCCACGCCCUAAACGAUGUCAACUAGUUGUUGGGGAUUCAUUUCCUUAGUAACGUAGCUAACGCGUGAAGUUGACCGCCUGGGGAGUACGGUCGCAAGAUUAAAACUCAAAUGAAUUGACGGGGUCAUAGCUGUUUCCUG